CCGCAUGGCUCAGUGGUAGAGCGCAUCACUAGUAAUGAUGAGGUCGUCAGUUCGAUUCUGGCUGUGGG
rnacentral:tRNA from 1 species